rnacentral:misc_RNA from 1 species
GACUACCGGCGCCGUGUCUUUUCAUUCGUGUGAGCUAUCUUACUGUUGCCUUUCAAGUGCUUGCGUGAUGUUACCCGACCUACGGGUAUUGGUGCUUCAUACACAGUUGCCUCGCGGUGGACGCCUUUGGGUGUGCUGCUGCGGCCAUAUGGYGCUUGYGGCGUUGCCUCUUGGUGCUGGCAUGUUUCGUGCCUGGUGCUAUCAAGGCAGCCUCGCUCCCGCUGUUGGUUUCGGAUGUUGCUCAUGAUAAAGGCUCGUGGCCCUUUUGGUUGCCUCGACCUGACCCUAAUAAUGCUCUCCGAAUUUGAGAACAACCGGAACAUGUGUUGCCUCUACCUCUCCACAGUUAGUGGUAGGAUUACGCAACAUACUGUGCCGAUCCUCAUACUAGUAGGACGAGCUAGGCCCGCUCAAUUGCGACAACCGGCCCGGCUGUUGCCUCGCCUUGCCACGCAAGUGGAUGGGUGGAUGACUACCGACGCUGGAUGUCAAAGAGGACGUGCUACCUGGUUGAUCCUGCCAGUAGUC